AUUGUCGGCAACUUCAAAGGCAUGUUAAAACGUAACGUAAGACCUGUCGGCCUUCCUUUGAUGCGGUUAACUACAACGUCCUCUUUGGUUCCUUGGAGGAGGAAGAGGGAGUCUUUAGGGGUGGAGAAGGGGUGAAUCUGUAUACAGUGUUUACAGCUAAAGGAGCAAAGGCCUAACGUUAACAAAAAAAUGGUAAUUGGGACUUGAAAAGUAUAUUUGAUCUAUGGAACAAGGUUAACUUUUCUUCAACUUGACUGAUUUGCUUUCCCAUUUCUUCUUCUUCUUAAUUAUCAUCAUCAUCAUCAUCUUCUUCUUUUUAAUCAUUCCCAUCAUCUUGAUCAUCAUCAUGGUCAUCGUAAUCAUUAUCAUCAACAAGUAAGUAAAGAUGGAAAAAAAAGAUUAUGAGUUUUCUCUCACCUUUUUAUAAUGAACCGGCAAAUAUGUGUAAAAAUACAUCUCAGUUUCAAAGUAAAGAAGAGCCUACCUCUUCAUUUUUCAUCACCAUCAACAUUACCAUCAACAUCAUCAUCAACAUCAUGGUAAUCAUCAACUCUUCGGCAGUUAUUUUCACCUUUUCAUCUUUCAUCGGAUAAAGAUUGGUUUCUUUUUUUUGUUCAUCUGAAGAUGUUUUUCCUUUCCUUUGCUUCACUCAUCUGUAAGUGAACCAUGAUUAGGUGUUGUUGUAAGAUUUGUCUGACUCAUUUUCUUCCAUUAUCUUCAUCAUUAUCAUCAUUAUCUUCUUCUGCUUUUCUUCUUGCCUCACUGUUAAAAUGACUGUUAAUGCAGUUGAUUUCAUUUUUUGAUGCCGCUGAAAGUGAUAACAGACAAAUUGCUGGGAUUCGCAAUCUUUUGGCGAUCAACAACAAAGCCAUUGAUUCGUCAUUGGAUCAACAAAUCAAAUCAAUAUGGCAACGAAAUGAAGUUGUCAGUGUUAGUAACUCUCAUGAUUUCCUAGUUUUUUCAAAUCUUCAAUUUCAAAAUCACCAGUUUGGAAUGGCAUUUCAUUGGAUUUAACUGGUCUUAACAUGGACUGAACAUCUAAACAUCAGCUAUGGUUUACCUGAUGUUUUACAAUGAUUUUCAAUGAUUUUGCAGACCAUGAACUUAUUCAAGUUUAUGUUAGUGAAUGUUUACUCAAACUGAACAUGCAUUAAGCAAAAUCAUUUGAAAUGCAGCUUAAAUAUUUGUCGAUUUGUUGCUUAAAAUUUAAUUUCAACUGCAGCUGAUAUUUGCUUGAAAUUAGCGGUCAUUAGUCGAAUAUUGAUUCAGAAAUUAUUCAUUAACUAUGUUUACUGUUGAGAUUUGGUUAUUCGUUUCCCAUACAGAUUAAACUCAUAUCACUUUCUGUUGUUUG